GACGAACGCUGGCGGUGCGCUUAACACAUGCAAGUCGAACGGAAAGGCCUGCUUUCCCUUGUGGAUUGCGGGUACUCGAGUGGCGAACGGGUGAGUAACACGUGAGUGAUCUGCCCCCAACUUGGGUAUAAGCCUGGGAAACUGGGUCUAAUUCCCGAUAGGACUGCAGGGUGGUGCCUGUGGUGGAAAACGAUUUUCUAGUGGCUGGGGAUGAGCUCGCGGCCUAUCAGCUUGUUGGUGGGGUAAUGGCCUACCAAGGCGGCGACGGGUAGCCGGCCUGAGAGGGUGGACGGCGACAGUGGGACUGGGAUACGGCCAAGACUCCUACGGGAGGAAGCAGUGGGGAAUAUUGCACAAUGGGCGGAAGCCUGAUGCAGCGACGCCGCGUGGGGGAUGACGGCCUUCGGGUUGUAAACUCCUUUCGACCGAGAGGAAGCCACCUGGUUGGAAGGGUGGUGACGGUAGUGGUAGAAGAAGCACCGGCUAACUACGUG
rnacentral:rRNA from 1 species